rnacentral:rRNA from 1 species
GAUGAACGCUAGCUACAGGCUUAACACAUGCAAGUCGAGGGGCAGCAUGGUCUUAGCUUGCUAAGGCCGAUGGCGACCGGCGCACGGGUGAGUAACACGUAUCCAACCUGCCGUCUACUCUUGGACAGCCUUCUGAAAGGAAGAUUAAUACAAGAUGGCAUCAUGAGUCCGCAUGUUCACAUGAUUAAAGGUAUUCCGGUAGACGAUGGGGAUGCGUUCCAUUAGAUAGUAGGCGGGGUAACGGCCCACCUAGUCUUCGAUGGAUAGGGGUUCUGAGAGGAAGGUCCCCCACAUUGGAACUGAGACACGGUCCAAACUCCUACGGGAGGCAGCAGUGAGGAAUAUUGGUCAAUGGGCGAGAGCCUGAACCAGUCAAGUAGCGUGAAGGAUGACUGCCCUAUGGGUUGUAAACUUCUUUUAUAAAGGAAUAAAGUCGGGUAUGGAUACCCGUUUGCAUGUACUUUAUGAAUAAGGAUCGGCUAACUCCGUGCCAGCAGCCGCGGUAAUACGGAGGAUCCGAGCGUUAUCCGGAUUUAUUGGGUUUAAAGGGAGCGUAGAUGGAUGUUUAAGUCAGUUGUGAAAGUUUGCGGCUCAACCGUAAAAUUGCAGUUGAUACUGGAUAUCUUGAGUGCAGUUGAGGCAGGCGGAAUUCGUGGUGUAGCGGUGAAAUGCUUAGAUAUCACGAAGAACUCCGAUUGCGAAGGCAGCCUGCUAAGCUGCAACUGACAUUGAGGCUCGAAAGUGUGGGUAUCAAACAGGAUUAGAUACCCUGGUAGUCCACACGGUAAACGAUGAAUACUCGCUGUUUGCGAUAUACUGCAAGCGGCCAAGCGAAAGCGUUAAGUAUUCCACCUGGGGAGUACGCCGGCAACGGUGAAACUCAAAGGAAUUGACGGGGGCCCGCACAAGCGGAGGAACAUGUGGUUUAAUUCGAUGAUACGCGAGGAACCUUACCCGGGCUUAAAUUGCAGAUGAAUUACGGUGAAAGCCGUAAGCCGCAAGGCAUCUGUGAAGGUGCUGCAUGGUUGUCGUCAGCUCGUGCCGUGAGGUGUCGGCUUAAGUGCCAUAACGAGCGCAACCCUUGUUGUCAGUUACUAACAGGUUCCGCUGAGGACUCUGACAAGACUGCCAUCGUAAGAUGUGAGGAAGGUGGGGAUGACGUCAAAUCAGCACGGCCCUUACGUCCGGGGCUACACACGUGUUACAAUGGGGGGUACAGAGGGCCGCUACCACGCGAGUGGAUGCCAAUCCCCAAAACCUCUCUCAGUUCGGACUGGAGUCUGCAACCCGACUCCACGAAGCUGGAUUCGCUAGUAAUCGCGCAUCAGCCACGGCGCGGUGAAUACGUUCCCGGGCCUUGUACACACCGCCCGUCAAGCCAUGGGAGCCGGGGGUACCUGAAGUGCGUAACCGCGAGGAGCGCCCUAGGGUA